ACUCAAAGGAAUUGACGGGGGCCCGCACAAGCGGUGGAGCAUGUGGUUUAAUUCGACGCAACGCGAAGAACCUUACCUGGGCUCGAACGGCUGUAGACAGCUGGUGGAAACACCGGUUUUCCCGCAAGGGACUGCAGUCGAGGUGCUGCAUGGCUGUCGUCAGCUCGUGUCGUGAGAUGUUGGGUUAAGUCCCGCAACGAGCGCAACCCUUGUCCUGUGUUGCUAACCGAAAGGUGCACUCUCAGGAGACCGCCAGCGAUAAGUUGGAGGAAGGUGGGGAUGACGUCAAGUCAUCAUGGCCUUUAUGUCCAGGGCUACACACGUGCUACAAUGGGCGGUACAAAGCGCUGCAAACCCGCGAGGGGGAGCUAAUCGCAAAAAACCGUUCUCAGUUCGGAUUGCAGGCUGCAACUCGCCUGCAUGAAGCUGGAAUCGCUAGUAAUGGCAUAUCAGAACGAUGCCGUGAAUACGUUCCCGGGCCUUGCACACACCGCCCGU
rnacentral:rRNA from 1 species